rnacentral:misc_RNA from 1 species
UCCCUGUUACCAGGGCAGUCUGAAUAGAAAAAUACAACUAUUCAUAAGGGUUGCGCUCGUUGAUGGACUUAACCAAACAUCUCACGACACGAGCUGACGACGGCCAUGCAGCACCUGUCACUGUGCUCAAUAAAGCACUCUCGCCUUUCGGCAAGAUUCACAGGAUGUCAAGUCUGGGUAAGGUUCUUCGCUUACCAUCGAAUUAAACAACACGCUCCACCGCUUGUGCGGGUCCCCGUCAAUUCCUUUAUGUUUUAGCCUUGCGGCCGUACUCCACAGGCGGGAUGCUUAACGCGUUAGCUUCGCUACUGAAGGGGUCGAUACCUCCAACAGCUAGCAUCCAUAGUUUACGGCGUGGACUAC